UACGGAGGGUGCAAGCGUUAAUCGGAAUUACUGGGCGUAAAGCGCACGCAGGUGGCUGAGUAAGUCGAUUGUGAAAGCCCUGGGCUUAACCUGGGAAUUGCAUUCGAUACUGCUCAGCUAGAGUAUGGGAGAGGGUAGUGGAAUUCCCGGUGUAGCGGUGAAAUGCGUAGAUAUCGGGAGGAACAUCAGUGGCGAAGGCGGCUACCUGGCCCAAUACUGACACUAAGGUGCGACAGCGUGGGGAGCAAACAGG
rnacentral:rRNA from 1 species